GAACAGAGCAGCUAUAAGCCUGAUGCUGUAUUCAGUGUUUUUUGAGGUUUAUUCUUUUUCUUUGGGGGGAGCAUGGGAGGGAAGUCUCUAAAUGUCCACAAGCGUCACCUUGCACAGGCAUCAAAUUCUUUUCUCCUCUAAAAUUCAGCUGUGAUUUGCUGAGGCUCAAAGCUGCAGUGGGAUGGCUUCUCCUUCCACCAGGCAAAACCUCCACCAUGUGUUUUGUAGUGGCAGUUCAGUGAUAUAAGUGAAGAGAAUGCAUGGCAGAGUAUGAGGCAGAAUCUAUUGCUCAUACUUCAGGGUGUAAAUCAGUCAGAGAUAGCUUCAGGUGAGAAAGAAAUCUCUUCUCUAUAUUUAAUGCCUGGCUAUAAAUUUGAGGCCUCUGACUCCCUCUCAUGCAGAAAUAUUGGCUAAUGUGUUUUUCGUAUAUACAAGUGUGCAUUUGUCAGUUUGUUGUGCCCACAGUACAGACAUUCACAAUUUUGAUCACAGAUGAGGAGUCUCCUCUCCUGAGAUUUUUUUUUUUUUUCCAAGUGUAGAUUCACUUUAAAAGUCUGCAGAGGAUGAUGUGCCUGUAUUAAAUAGCAGCCAGGUGCCCGUGGAGCAGCAUUCUUCACAAUCCAAAGUUUCAAAAGAUUAUUUCAUAAGAAAAACAAAUUCAUAGUUUUCUGUCUCCUCAAAGGCCAGUAACACCAUAAAUAUGAUGAGGACUGUUAAUAGCUAAAGUUGAGUUCAGGUCCCUUAAUAUAUUUCCUCAGUAGUGCAGCCACAUGCUUAAAACCACCUUUCCUGGUUAUUUUUCAGGCUUUGAAAGAGCAGCACUCUGCAGCCCAUGUGAGCUGUACACAGAAGAUUGCAUGCCUCCUGAAAGGAACUCUGCUCUUUCAAGAGGGUGGGAAGCACUAGAAGCCUCUAAUUACAGCAGUGCAAACUGUCAGGUCUUCUAUAGUAAUUGUAAAGAAGAUCCAAAGGAUAUUUGAUUUCACUGUCCCAUAAGAGCUUUAUAAUCAGGUAUGUGCUUCUCUAAUAAUUUACUGGUUUAAUUAUAUUAUGUUGUCCAGGCAAAAAAACCUAAUAAAAGCUCAUAUAGGCAUAUUUUCCUUUAGCA
rnacentral:lncRNA from 1 species